UUUCUGCUCAGAUUGAACGCUGGCGGCGUGCUUAACACAUGCAAGUCGAGCGAGAAAGUUCUCUUCGGAGAAUGAGUAGAGCGGCGCACGGGUGAGUAACGCGUGGAUAAUCUACCCUGAAGAUCGGGAUAACAGUUGGAAACGACUGCUAAUACCGGAUAUCCUGCAUAUUUAGCUUUAUGUGGUAAAGGCGGCCUCUAUUUAUAAGCUGCCGCUUUGGGAUGAGUCCGCGUCUCAUUAGCUUGUUGGUGGGGUAAUGGCCUACCAAGGCAACGAUGAGUAGCUGGUCUGAGAGGAUGAUCAGCCACACUGGGACUGAAACACGGCCCAGACUCCUACGGGAGGCAGCAGUGGGGAAUAUUGCGCAAUGGGGGAAACCCUGACGCAGCGACGCCGCGUGCGGGAAGAAGGCCUUCGGGUCGUAAACCGCUGUCAGGAGGGAAGAAACUGUUAGGGUAUAAUACGCCCUUUCACUGACGGUACCUCCAAAGGAAGCACCGGCUAACUCCGUGCCAGCAGCCGCGGUAAUACGGAGGGUGCGAGCGUUAAUCGGAAUCACUGGGCGUAAAGCGCACGUAGGCGGCGCAUCAAGUCAGGCGUGAAAGCCCUCGGCUCAACCGAGGAAUUGCGCUUGAAACUGGUGUGCUGGAGUCUCGGAGAGGUUGGCGGAAUUCCAGGUGUAGGAGUGAAAUCCGUAGAUAUCUGGAGGAACACCGGUGGCGAAGGCGGCCAACUGGACGAGUACUGACGCUGAGGUGCGAAAGCGUGGGGAGCAAACAGGAUUAGAUACCCUGGUAGUCCACGCUGUAAACGAUGGAUAUUAGGUGUCGGGGGUUACCUUCGGUGCCGCAGUUAACGCGUUAAAUUCC
rnacentral:rRNA from 1 species